UGAUACUUAUCUGUAUUACACAAGAGAAUCAUGAGUGCAACUGAGUGCAACAUUCCUCACCUUUAUAACAAUCUGUCAUGAAGGUCAUUGUUUUGGAUGAAGGCUGCUGUCUAGAAACAAUAAGGGUGGAGUCUCGUCAGAUACCCAGUCAUCUUUCACUCUGCAGUCUGUAGAAAAAUGAGAAACAAUAAACUGCUUUUUGGAAGAGUCCAUCUAAAAGAAAACUUUGGCUCACAUUUCCUAAUUAUGGUACCUCAUACAGUUGGAUGGACAUGGAUGGACACAUGUCCAACAAUUAACAGUUAAGGAGAUGUUUCAAACGUAUCCCCGGAAUUUAGACUGAUCAAGGCAAUUCCCCAAUUGUUGUUCCCUAUUCCAAGAUAUCAAGUUUACAGUAAAAGGAAUCCAAU
rnacentral:lncRNA from 1 species